AAUUACCGGCCGCUGCUACCCGAGUGCCCAUGUAUUGGUACGACGGAGCACUGGCUGUGUUCGCCGAACAUUUCUCAUAAGGCACUUCGCGGCAAUCGGCUGCGCUAGGACCCGUCUUGCCCGGAGACUGGGGCUUGUCUUAUAAUAUGGCAUCCACCGCCUCCCGCCUCUCUCCCUCUCGCACGCGAUGCAUUAUUUUCCUCCUUCGUCCUCCUCCAUCCUUCUUCGGUUCGAGUAUGUAUACAAACACUUCAUCAUGUUGGUUGACUGGCUGCCGCUGCUGCUGCUGCUUCUGGGCUGCUGUUUUGGGGUCUUGGAGCCGUUCGGGUUGAGCAGCUCGAUCAGUUCAAGUCGUUGGCGCGAUUUGUGUAGUAGCACAUGUGAGUUCGGUCGUCGUCGUCGUCUUCGGGCUUUCGGUCUUGUGUCGUCGCAGUUUUCGAGGCGAUUCCACAGUACGUGUGUGUACCGUGCGUGCUUCCCGGGUGUGUGACUGUUUAAGAUCUUUAAGAAAAAUUGUCAGCGGUCAACGAUCAGCGAACAUCAACGACAAUCGGCGUAACAGGUUUAUGGAUGUACGUGACAUUUUUUUCGGUCGUUUUUCAACUUUUAAUUUAACCCGUCCUUCCGCUGUUCUUCGGUUUUGGUCUUGCUCUUGAGGAGCUGUGGGACCUUCGUUACGGACGACGGACGGGCCGGAAUACCAACGUCAGUAAGCCAGUCAGUUAGUGCAGUGGUAAACACGGUUGCAGCUUCCCUUCAGUGAGAUGAUUUAACGCAUGGUUGGAGAUUCCAAACGAGAAGAGAGAACGACGUGGAUGACAACGUUGUUGGAUUUGUGGUCUGAAGCUUUGGCUCCAGUUGAAACGACGGCACAUGGGGCAUGUGCGCAGUCAACGGUGCUAAGUGGUAAAGUGGGACUAAGUUGUCCGUAGACGAAUCGAAGGGGAGUGACCAUCGUACGUGAGGGUGAUAAAUAAUAGUGAUUAUGUCAAGAAUCGUUAAAAGUGUUACGCAUGACGCUCAAAUGGAUAUGAAGUCAUUUACAUACUGCUGAUCUUUGAAUGAGUGGGUGAUCGAGUGUUGCAGAGUGACGCAGAGCAGAGGAAGACAAACCGCGCCGCUGCCGGUGGACUUUAGUAGCGAUCGAAAUACGAUCGAAGCGGCGGGCGUGCGCGCGCGUGGAGUUUGAACCUGAACGGGUCUCUACACAGCUACAUCUACGCCAGGAGAGCGAGUUGUUUUCUGGGAGUGCAUCGCGUCGCGAACGAAUGCAUAGGAUCUUUGCGUUUGGCGUUUGAGCUCCGUUGGUGUGUUAAUGUUGGCCGGUGCUCUGGAUUUGGUUUGGCAUUGGCGUGUUCCGAACGGAUGGGAUUGGGAUGUGGUGACCACAUAAUAAUCGUUGGAGCGUGAAAAGUCAACUUGGAAGAGUGAAAAAGUGCAGUGAAGUUAAACAUAGCACAGGAAGAGCCGAAGAAAUAAGAUGUAUAGCCUUUGAUUUGUGUUAUUACCAGCAGCAGCGUUGUGUUUGUCUGUGCUCGAAUAAGGCAAGUGAAGGUUUAAAAUCCAAGAGCUGAUUCCAGCCAGUCAGUGGUGAAAGGAGAAGAGAGCGGUGGUGACUCCCCGAGGGGAUUGGGGAAACGAUAUUUUAUAAACAAAAACCUUCGCGCAAAAGAGGAGCCGAUAUACUACCGACCGCUGGCUGGAGAGAAGAAGCGAUCCGUUGGUUUGGUUGGGCGAUGUUUUGCCUAAUGAACGGGUCAUUGACAGUGGAUUAGAGCGGCAUCAUCACAGGAGAAGAGUCGCGCGCGAGUCAAAUUGGAGAAACAAAAAAAGAAAA